ensembl:lncRNA
GGGGCUUGUUUCCAGGAGGUCAAUGAAGAUGCCAGAGUCACAUUCAUGUCCCCUCUCUUGCGGCUGGAGCCAGCACAGUGACCGAGAGCCUCCUGUCCUCCCGGCCAGGACUCCAAGGCAACUUCCACCUCCCUUCCUGAGAGCAGGAGUGGGAGCACAGCUGGAUCCCCUCUGCCAGCAUCAUGCCAGGGUGUCACCAAGGGCUACCCAGCCCCGCCACUGGUCACUGGCCACUGAGCAGGGAUGGAGCCGAGUGCACUGCCUUGCCAGGCUGGGCACAGCGGGCACAGGGAUGGCUUGUGGGCUCCUAUGGACCAAUAGGGUUGGGGAGAUGGAGGCUGCAUCCCUCAGCAGUUGGUAGCCCUUUGGGCUGGGUAGCCCUCUUUGUUACUCAGCUGGGGACCUUAAGAGAUAUUAAUAUGUUUUUCUCUAAGGCAGUGAACUUGCCAUUGGCAGUGUUUGCUGUUUGGGUGACUUGGAAGUGUUUGUUAAAGGGAACAAGGUGAGAGCACCUGGCUCUCCCCAUCCUCUGGCCAUUUCAUGGAGGCAAUGGCUAUUGAAGUAUUAAAACACAAGAGCUUGGGAUGGCUGCCAGCAGCACCACAUACUGUGACAAAACAGGGCAGAUGCCUUUUGGAUUGUACUUUGGGCCUUUUAAAUUUUUCUCCCCUCCCUUUCCUCGCUGCUGUGAUUUGGUCAGAGGCUGGGUAGCUCCCCACACACAGCUGCUGGGAAGAGCACAGGGCUCUGUUAGUGUGCCAAGGCAGCAGCACCACUGCCAAGAUAUUCCCCAGAUAAAGCCCACUGCAAGCUCAGAGCCGGUCUGCUGAGCUUCCCUGUGCGUGGGUGAGGCUCUCAUUAGCAAAGGAGCAGAAAAAGGGGUGCAGUGGGGAGAGCUCGUGCCUUGGGAAGGGGCACCAUGGCUCAGCAAGGCCUCAGAGGGAGAGCAGGAGAAUUAGGGCAGCAUUGCAGGGUGGGCUGGGGAGGGAUCCCCCUCCUUCCUGCUGCACCCCACACCCUGGCUUCCCCUUGGAGAGAGGUGAGCGUUUCUGAGCGUGCUUCCUGCCAGCGGUUGGGCUGAGGCUGCCCCAGGUCAUCCACGCACGCUGGCUGCCAACUGUGUUUGGGAUUAUGCAUCCAAGAGCUGUCAGCCCGAGCCAUUCCUCAUUUUACUGUGGAGGAAGGCACGUGGAUUUCGGCUGUCAGUGCAGGGAUGCAGCUCCUGACUGGCCUCUCUGGGACUGGCCACUGCUGAGGACUGGUCCUGCACUGCCCCAGCAUCCUGCUUCCCUGCACAGCAGAUCUCCAGAUUCUCCAGGCUCGCCUCUCGCCCCUGGAUGAGGCUGGGCUGUAGCCUGGCCAGCUGAAUGAUGCAAUGCCAUGAAAAGCCUUGACACAGCUUCAAACAGCAGAGGUCUUUUCGGAGCAGCGGGUGCCCGGCGCUGCCGGGAAGAGCACACGUUCCACACAGCCAGUCUGCCAUCAGCUGGAUGACGUUUAUUUACAUCUUCUAGUCUUUUUUUUUUUUUUUUCCCUUCAGCUGCUUGUGAACUUUAAUAAAAAUGAUGAUCUGGGAAACUGUUUGUGUGUU